UAGAGUUGCAAAACUCCCUUACACCAUUGUGGACAAGCUUGAUAGGUGCUCUGUUAGGCUGUUGGUUUAGGCCCGUCAAACGGCCUGCCGUACGGCCUGCCAGGGUGUCCUAAAACUCUUUAUUGUUGGCAUCUUCUGAGGAACUUAUUCAAUAAGUCA
rnacentral:misc_RNA from 1 species